GACGAACGCUGGCGGCGUGCCUAAUACAUGCAAGUAGAACGCACAGUUUAUACCGUAGCUUGCUACACCAUAAACUGUGAGUUGCGAACGGGUGAGUAACGCGUAGGUAACCUGCCUGGUAGCGGGGGAUAACUAUUGGAAACGAUAGCUAAUACCGCAUAAUAUUGAUUAUUGCAUGAUAAUUGAUUGAAAGAUGCUAUUGCAUCACUACCAGAUGGACCUGCGUUGUAUUAGCUAGUAGGUGAGGUAACGGCUCACCUAGGCGACGAUACAUAGCCGAACUGAGAGGGUGAUCGGCCACACUGGGACUGAGACACGGCCCAGACUCCUACGGGAGGCAGCAGUAGGGAAUCUUCGGCAAGGGACGAAAGUCUGACCGAGCAACGCCGCGGGAGUGAAGAAGGUUUUCGGAUCGUAAAGCUCGGUUGUAAGAGAAGAACGGGUGUGAGAGUGGAAAGUUCACACUGUGACGGUAACUGACCAGAAAGGGACGGCUAACUACGUG
rnacentral:rRNA from 1 species